AUCAUCUAGAGGGUGAAUGUGAAAGAUUGUUGUUCUGACAAACCUAGAGUACAGCUUUCUUAUUGGCUCUUAAUUCUGGAAAACAGAGUGACUCCUAAUAUCUUGACAUGUUUAUAUUUAUAUGUACACACAUAUCUUGGAAGGCAUCAUCUGUACUCACAUAGCACAUAAACCCUGUAAAAGUUUCAUCUAUGAAGAUUAUAUGCCUGAGAGAAAAGGGUAGAGUCUUAGAGAUCUAAACAUUUAAAGAGAUGGUUCUAAUAGGCAAAUUCACUGUCAACAACUUUUUCUUUAUUUCUUAUAAUCUGAGUAAAAUUUAAGAAAAAUCAAAUAGGUAUUUUGGCUGUUUGGUACCUGUUCUCACAAGACUGAUUUACUACAGAUACUCAUAGAACAUAGAAGUUGAUCUUCUUCACAAGAAGUCUGGCAUGACGAAAGUGUGAUCUAAAAGAAAAGAACUAAAUGCCAAGUUUCAGAACACAACUGGAGUUCCUUGAGACAGUAUUAUACCCAGAUAUUGUUGUGACUCCCAGACAACACUUCCUGGCAUUGAAUUACACUGGAUCAGGAACUGUUUUGUUCCCAAAGAUACCACAAUUUACUCCAGGAACAUUGACUAUUAUUCUGACAUCCACACUGCUUUGUGAGUAAACUUGGACCUUCAUCCUCUCUGAACCCUUCAGAAAGAGAGGGAGAGACAAAGUCUGUCCUGCUUCUGCAGCCAAGAAAGAGGCUGCUUACCCUCUCACCCCACUGAUGCCCAGCACUACCACAAGCACGGAAUAUCUUCUCCCAAAGCUGGUCCCUCUCUCUUAGAUGAUCUCAGCGUACUACAGCAUCUGCUAUUUAGGAACCCUAACCUUUUUCUUGGAUGACUUAAGGAAUUUUAAUAUUGAGGUAACUGAAGAAAUAAGUGCAUGUAAAGGCCUUUGGGGGAAGAAAACUGUGUUUUUGCUUUGAUUUAUCACCUUACUGCUCUUUUAUGAACAAUGUUUACUGCAACCUUUUUUUAUUCAGAAAUACUUGUUAUGCCACAGUUCCCUUUUAAUGUCCUAA